GUUUGAUCCUGGCUCAGGACGAACGCUGGCGGCGCGCCUAACACAUGCAAGUCGAACGGGAACUGUCCGGAGCUUGCUUCGGACGGUUUCAGUGGCGGACGGGUGAGUAACGCGUGAGGAACCUGCCUUUCAGAGGGGGAUAACGUCCGGAAACGGACGCUAAUACCGCAUGGCAUCCCGGGAUCACAUGGUUCUGGGAUCAAAGGAGCAAUCCGCUGGAAGAUGGACUCGCGUCCGAUUAGCCGGUUGGUGAGGUAACGGCCCACCAAAGCUGCGAUCGGUAGCCGGACUGAGAGGUUGAACGGCCACAUUGGGACUGAGACACGGCCCAGACUCCUACGGGAGGCAGCAGUGGGGGACCUUGCACAAUGGAGGGAACUCUGAUGCAGCGACGCCGCGUGAGGGAAGACGGUUUUCGGAUUGUAAACCUCUGUCCCCGGUGACGAUAAUGACGGUAGCCGAGGAGGAAGCUCCGGCUAACUACGUGCCAGCAGCCGCGGUAAUACGUAGGGAGCGAGCGUUGUCCGGAUUUACUGGGUGUAAAGGGUGCGUAGGCGGCUGAACAAGUCAGGUGUGAAAACCAUCGGCUCAACUGAUGGAUUGCACUUGAAACUGUGCAGCUUGAGUGAAGCAGAGGCAGGCGGAAUUCCCGGUGUAGCGGUGAAAUGCGUAGAGAUCGGGAGGAACACCAGUGGCGAAGGCGGCCUGCUGGGCUUUAACUGACGCUGAGGCACGAAAGCAUGGGUAGCAAACAGGAUUAGAUACCCUGGUAGUCCAUGCCGUAAACGAUGAUUACUAGGUGUGGGUGGUCUGACCCCAUCCGUGCCGGAGUUAACACAAUAAGUAAUCCACCUGGGGAGUACGGCCGCAAGGUUGAAACUCAAAGGAAUUGACGGGGGCCCGCACAAGCAGUGGGAGUAUGUGGUUUAAUUCGAAGCAACGCGAAGAACCUUACCAGGUCUUGACAUCUGCCCGGAUCCCGCGGAGACGCGGGGGUUGCCCUUUCGGGGAGCGGCAAGACAGGUGGUUGCAUGGUUGUCGUCAGCUCGUUGUUCGUGAGAUUGUUUGGGUUUAAGUUCCCGCAACGAGCGCAGCCCCUUUGUUGAUUAGUUGCUGCGCAAGAGCACUCUAAUCAGACUGCCGUUGACAAAACGGAGGAAGGUGGGGAUGGCGUCAAAUCAUCAUGCCCCUUAUGACCUGGGCUACACACGUACUACAAUGGCCGCGCACAGAGGGAAGCGAAACCGCGAGGCGGAGCGAACCCCCAAAAACGGUCUCAGUUCGGAUCGCAGGCUGCAACCCGCCUGCGUGAAGCUGGAAUUGCUAGUAAUCGCGGAUCAUCAUGCCGCGGUGAAUACGUUCCCGGGCCUUGUACACACCGCCCGUCACACCAU
rnacentral:rRNA from 1 species